GAUUAAAUUAACGUCUCCACCUUUAUUUAAAGGUUAUUUUGUUCAAAAUUUCAUACAUACCAAUUUUGAACUCCUUUAUUUCCUACUCCACACUUCAAAAUGCAUAUCUUUUUUUUGAAUAACAAUUCUUCAAUUUACGCGUAUUUUCUUAGUCUUGAAUGGCUAGAGAGAAAAGAGUGCUUUUGGAAAAGGCUUCUGGAACAGAUUAGUGG
rnacentral:misc_RNA from 1 species